AACUGAUCUAAAAGGUCAACAGAUGUAUUUUCAAUUAAUAAAAUGAUGGUAACACACGUUGGAUAAUAUUUUAUUCUCAUUAAGUCUAUGAUAUGAAUAUAUUUGAUGAAUAAAUAAACUAUUGGAUUGGUUGGUGUGAUUUUAAGGUUUGAUAAAUCUGAUAAUUUCAAUUUAUUUUUUUUUCUUAUCACUUGUCGAAGAACAAACCCUCACCCUUUUAAAACAAUAUUUAACAUUCAAUAGUGACAACGU